UCUCUGGAGGACUAGUGGUUUGGCCUCAGAACUCUCACCACUGUGGUCCGGGUUCGAUUCCCGGGCCAGGGAA